rnacentral:rRNA from 1 species
ACGCUCGACACCUACGGGAGGUAGCAGUGAGGAAUAUUGGUCAAUGGGCGCUAGCCUGAACCAGCCAAGUAGCGUGAAGGAUGAAGGCUCUAUGGGUCGUAAACUUCUUUUAUAUAAGAAUAAAGUGCAGUAUGUAUACUGUUUUGUAUGUAUUAUAUGAAUAAGGAUCGGCUAACUCCGUGCCACAGCCGCGGUAAUCUGAGCGGGCUGGCAAGGC